AAGAGGACAAAGCAGACGAAUUUGAAUCCAAAAUGGUGAUUCCCAAUCCUCUAAUCUCUUUUCACUCAGCUUGAUUUCUGCUCUUAAUUAUGCUUUUUGUUUAUAUCGGAAAGCCGAUUUACUGAUAUUAUUUGUUCCAUAUACCCGAUCUCUCUCUAUAGGUCUGCUUGGCGUGUCUGUUGCCUCUUUUCCUGGUUCCAAUCGUCAACAUAUUACCACUUCUAUUUGAUUUCAUCUUGGUAACAUUCAAUUCUUAUUCUCUUCUCUGUGUUUGCCCGUUGAAUUCUUUCUUAUUUAGUUAUUUUAAUUCGGAUGUUAGUAUUUUAAUGAUCUGUAGGGAAAAGUAUAUAAGCUGUUAGGAUGGGAUUAUCGGAAGCCGGAAAGGUCACCACCGGCGUGUCCCUACAAGCUUGCCGCCAACAAGAUCAAUGAUACAGUAUGUGCAUAAUGGUGUAGAUAUAUUACAGACAGUUAUGUUAAUUGCAUAUUUGGGUUUUGCUUUACUGUUUAUUUAUAUUUUGCUUUUUUGUUAAAGUUGGUAUUCUUGGUAUUUUUUUAAUUAUUUAAAAAUAAGGAAAAGCUAGGGAAAUACACUGAGAAAUAUCUUUGGCUAAUUGUUAACUAGCAGUGUUGCUUAAAUACAUUUAUCAGAUUCAUCUAAAAAGAAUCUUGUGUUAAAAUUAAAUGCUACUCGAUAAGGAACAAGUUAAAUGUUCCUAUGGUAGUGAAGGAGUUUUUAGUUUGUAAAUUGGAAACAUUAGUUUGUUAUUACCAGAAGACUAGCAAGGGAGCCGCUGACAGUGCUCUUUGAAGGGGAUUCUAUGCAAUCACGUAAAAUUUCUAAUCGAAUUCUGAAUUUAAGUUUCCAGUAUGAUUGUUCUAGAGGAUCGAUAUUUUUAGUGCUGUGCUAGCUAUGUGAAAACGGCCUUAUGUAUACUGAAACAAGAAUUGUGAUAUAAAGUCUCAUAUCCUAAAGUUUAGUUUUGAGUCGUGAGUUCUUUUUUCUCUUCAAAUGUUUGCUGAAGAUUAACAGUUGUGGCGUCGGAAGCAGUAUAACAGAAAAAUUGGUUUAUGUUUUUAUCUGGUUAGGUGCCAAAAAACACAGUUACUACUAACUUUAGUCUUCACAUACCCCUCCUCUUAGGCUGGAGAGACGCAAUGCUAAUGAGAAGUUUAUUCCACCACCUUUCGGAACCAAGAUUGUUACUGAAUACCGAAGUGUUUUUUUUUUAAAAAAUAUCUGGAGGAAGAAUCAUGUGAAGGUGAGGGAAAUUUAUUUGGAGAUGGUUCUGCAUGUGCAAGAAAUCAGUGUUCACUAUAGGACAAGAAUAGUGAUUGAAAUAUCAAGAGAUUGCGAGAACAAUUUACCCGGACUGAAUGAGUUCAUAUGGUCGAUCCCAAAUUAAUUUUGCCAUGUUGUUUUUUGGGCAACUGAUUGUACGGAAAUAUGCGAGCAUAUAAAGGUUACCUAAGUUUCAUCUUUCUGAAUUUAUAUUACCAAAAAUUUGACUGGAGUUUGAGAAGAUAUGUCCCAUGCCACCAAAAAUACUACCUUUGGUUUUGUUUCUCUAACAACUCUCUCCUGUUUGUCUUGUCUACUUUAGUAUCAUGUUUUGUUCUUAUCUUCUCUAUUCUCUCCUCUUAUUUCCAUCUUGGCAUUCUUUAAUCUCUUCUGUCUUCUUUUUCUUUUUAGCUCCCUUAUUUCUCUUUUCUCCUAUAAUUCUAUUGAUCUCCCUAGUUUUUCCACCAUCUCCUUUUUGUGUAUUCUUUUCGUCAUGUCCUUAUCCUGCUUGAUUCUCUUUGUUUUUAUGUUUAACAAACCCAAAGGGAGUUUAGAUUAGCUUGGUCUUGACUAAUGCAUUCUUCUUGAGGAUCUAUAUUAGAACCAAUCCCUUGAUUAAACUACUCUUAUAAUCUGAACGUUGUUUUACUUAUUUCUUUAUUUUUUUUCAGCAGGUAACUUUGUUAUACUUAAUUUAUUUAUGUAAUUGCACUUUAGAGGAUACCCUGAGCCUUUACCAAGGAGAAGGGAUUGUGUAUACCACAUUUAGUCAUAUUGAGAACCAUGAAGCUUACCAACAUCUGUUGGGCCGAGUGGAAGGAGCUCGGUGCCCUUAAGCAAGGUCUCAAGUUUGAGUUUGUGAAUGGAGGAAUCAGUGUUAGGGAGAGCUCCAGAAAUCAGUUUCCCUGCCAUCUUAGUGGGACUAGUCUAAUAAACUUUCACUUGAACUACCAAGGCUCGGUUUUUGUGGUAAUGCCCUUCUAUCCUUGUGGGUCCGACCAUAGCUCGAUUCCGAAUUAGUCGGGUCUAAUGGUUGUCGGAUACCAAGAGGUGAACCAAGAAAUAAAAGAAGAGAACCAUGAAGCUUCAGGUUGAGCAUUUGCCAAGAAGAGGGGAUUGCUUACACCAUAUCACCAUAUCUGAUGCAUUGAUGAAAAGACAAUUUACCAAGUCUAAGUUGUUGCUUGACUUAUUAAUCAGAACGUCCAAAGAUUAUUUUAAUCUUUCAUUAGUAAUAGUAACUCUUGUCCAAUGUUCUAACAGGCGCCUAGGAGGCGGGCGGCCUAGAGCCUAGGGAGCCUAGGCGGGAUUUUUUAUUUUAAGCCAAUUUUAAUAUUUUAUCUUACAUUUAUCCAAACAAAAUAAUAAUAUAAAUCAAAACAAUCUAUAAUAAAGAUAAUAAAUGCCUUUGCUUAAAGUUCAAACACAUAUCCAUAUUACUAAUGUCAAAAUUCAAACACAAAAAUGCAAUUGUUGAAAGUUCAAACAUAUUUUUAACGUAUUAGUUUAAUUCAUAAACAAGAUUGCUAUUAAAUAAUAAAUUUAAAAUUUCAACAAUUUAAUUCAAUAUUAAAACUUAAGAAACUAAACAUAAAUUUAGAAUUAUAUUAAAUUAAACUAAAUAUUACAAAUGUAUCAUCAUUUAUAUAAUUUGAAGUUGGUACAAAUUCAAAAAUUACAACUAUAAUAAAAUUAUCCAUUUUGACUUGAUAUUGUUCACUUCUUGUUGUGAUUUGAUAUGUUACAACCUAUAUUAUGAAUAUGGUAAAUCAUUAGAAAAAUAAAUAUAUCAAGAUCUGGUUUGGGUAGUUAUUAAAAUAAAAAAAAACAUAGGCGACUCCGCCUAAUUUUCUGGGAGGAAUUUUUUUUAGCCUUGGGCCUAGGUGAGGCGCCAGGGGGGCCUAGCGCCUAGGCGAUGCGCCAAGGGGGGCCUAGGCGGACCUAGGCGGGGAUUUUUAGAACAGUGCUCUUGACCAGUUUCAAGUUUGAGCUUUACUAAAUCUAUGAUAACGGAUAUGAUUUUUGCCCUUACUGCAUAUGUUUAACUUAUGGAAAUUGGUUGUUAUAGGGAACUGAAAUGUUAGCAGCAUCUGAUUUCUAGCGUGGUUUUGGUUGUCUUCACUUGACUGAAGUUGUUACUGUUUCUAUUGACAAGGAAUCUGAUAUUGUAUAUAUGUUGGGUUUAAUUCUAGGUGUUUCAUUGGUUUUUUGUGUUCUAUAGUAAGCUCCUUAUUUGGUUUAAAAAUUGGGAUGUUUUUUUUAAAAAAACUUUUUUAUUACCUAUUAUUAAGUUUGCUUGGUGCCCUUCUCUAUUUGGUGUCUUCUUUAUCUCUGUUGGUUCAUUUUUGCCUCUGUUUUGGUAAAGUAUCUAGCAACUAGUAACAACUGCCAUUUAUAGUCGGCAUAUCCAGAUAGACAAAUCAUGGCCCAUACUAGUAUCCCAGGAUUUGCCAAUUUGAUAGUCCAUUACCUUAAAGUUGUUCUUUUGAUUCAUUGUCUUUAUGGACAUAAAAAUGAGUUUACAUCAUGUUUUACAGGCUGCUGGAGAACCCAAUCCUGUUGCCCUGGAUCCUGUCCAAAAGCUAACGAGGGUGGAUGACUGCAAGCUCGAGUGAAGUUUGCUUUUAUCUGUCCAUAAGAUAUCAAGGGUUUAAUCAUUCUCUUACUUCUUGCUGGGAUAAAGCCAGUGGUUCUUUUUAUUUGUUUGUUUGGUAAAAACUUUAACUGAUACUAUCAGACUAGUGCAAUCAAGAGAAUUGUUUUGGGACUAUUUCUUACUGGUGUUUGGCUGUUUGCCAUGCCUUUCACAUUGUGAAGUAGAGGGUUAAGGUUUUCCUGUUGAUUUGGGAGAAAUAGUGGCCUACUUUCUUACUUUUUUCCACCCUUACCCCUAAUAGAGAAACAAAAAUAUAUAUAAUCCUUGUAUUUGAAAUGAUAUCACAACUAGUAAUGAAGAUCAAUGUUAGGAGCUAUGAUUAAUAUGCCAGGAAAAACAUUUGAUUAACAUUCUUAAACUGGAGUUCCAUACUUUUAAGUGAGAUAUAUCCUUCCCACUUAUCAAGUUAGCCAGUUAAGGUCUUCUUUUAUAGAAGUGGGAUUAACAACUUUUACUUAUCACUCGUGUUUUUUCUUUCCUGAUCCCUCUUAAUGAACCGCUGCUAACUAUUAAAUAUAUGAAGGCAGGCUUUGUGGAGCUACUAGAAUCAGUCUAGCAAAAAUAUUUGGACCGGAAAAAGAGGGUUCCAGUGUCCAACACAAUAAUAUCCUAUCAACUGGACAAGCCCACGACUGCUUUGUUGGAAAAUUCCCUCAAGAGUCCAUCUUUGCAUAGCAUAGUAUAUAUUUUUCAAAGUAGAACAGGUCCC
rnacentral:lncRNA from 1 species